UCCCUCUGUGUCCUUGUGGAUUGCUUUACU
rnacentral:piRNA from 1 species